GGGGUUGGCCUAUUCAAUGGCUUCUAGGGAAAAAUAAUGAGGGGUGUCACGGGGUAUGACUAUAUAGGUCUUGUAGAAGAAAAACAGGCGCAUCUUUUGCGCAAGGUAUCGAAGGGCGCUAUGUUCAAAAAUCUGAAACUAGAGCUCAAAAUUUGAAAAAAAAUGUUAAAAACAGGGGGGUUGGCCUAUACAAUGGCUUCUACAGAAAAAUAAUGAAGGGUGUCACGGGGUAUGACAAUAUAGGUCUUGUAGAAGAGAAACAGGCGCAUCUCUUGCGCAAGGUUUCGAAGGGCGCUAUGUUCAAAAAUCUGAAACUAGAGCUCAAAAUUUGAAAAAAAAUGUUAAAAACAGGGGGGUUGGCCUAUUCCAUGGCUUCUACAGAAAAAUAAUGAAGGGUGUCACGGGGUAUGACAAUAUAGGUCUUGUAGAAGAGAAACAGGCGCAUUUUUUGCGCAAGGUAUCGAAGGGCGCUAUGUUCAAAAAUCUGAAACUACAGCUCAAAAUUUGAAAAAAAAAAUUGUUAAAAACAGGGGGUUGGCCUAUUCAAUGGCUUCUAGGGAAAAAUAAUGAGGGGUGUCACGGAGUAUGACUAUAUAGGUCUUGUAGAAGAGAAACAGGCGCAUCUUUUGCGCAAGGUAUCGAAGGGCGCUAUGUUCAAAAAUCUGAAACUAGAGCUCAAAAUUUGAAAAAAAAUUGUUAAAAACAGGGGGGUUGGCCUAUUCCAUGGCUUCUACAGAAAAAUAAUGAGGGGUGUCACGGGGUAUGACAAUAUAGGUCUUGUAGAAGAGAAACAGGCGCAUCUCUUGCGCAAGGUUUCGAAGGGCGCUAUGUUCAAAAAUCUGAAACUAGAGCUCAAAAUUUGAAAAAAAAUGUUAAAAACAGGGGGGUUGGCCUAUUCCAUGGCUUCUACAGAAAAAUAAUGAAGGGUGUCACGGGGUAUGACAAUAUAGGUCUUGUAGAAGAGAAACAGGCGCAUCUCUUGCGCAAGGUUUUGAAGGGCGCUAUGUUCAAAAAUCUGAAACUAGAGCUCAAAAUUUGAAAAAAAUUGUUAAAAACAGGGGGGUUGGCCUAUACCAUGGCUUCUAGAGAAAAAUAAUGAGGGGUGUCACGGGGUAUGACUAUAUAGGUCUUGUAGAUGAGAAACAGGCGCAUCUUUUGCGCAAGGUAUCGAAGGGUGCUAUGUUCAAAAAUCUGAAACUAGAGCACAAAAUUUGAAAAAAAAUUGUUAAAAACAGGGGGGUUGGUCUAUUCUAUGGCUUCUACAGGAUAAUGAGGGGUGUCACGCGGUAUGACUAUAAAGGUCUUGUAGAGGAGAAACAGGCGCAUCUUUUGCACAAGGUAUCGAAGGGCGCUAUGUUCAAAAAUCUGAAACUAGAGCUCAAAAUUUGAAAAAAAUAGUUAAAAACAGGAGGAAUGGCCUAUUCCAUGGCUUCUAGAGAAAAAUAAUGAGGGGUGUCACGGGAUAUGACUAUAUAGGUCUUGUAGAAGAGAAACAGGCGCAUCUUUUGCGCAAGGUAACGAAGGGCGCUAUGUUCAAAAAUCUGAAACUAGAGCUCAAAAUUGGAAAAAAAAAAAUUAAAAACAGGGGGUUGGUCUAUUCCAUGGCUUCUAGAGAAAAAUAAUGAGGGGUGUCACGGGAUAUGACUAUAUAGGUCUUGUAGAAGAGAAACAGGCGCAUCUUUUGCGCAAGGUAACGAAGGGCGCUAUGUUCAAAAAUCUGAAACUAGAGCUCAAAAUUGGAAAAAAAAAAAAUUAAA